ACUCAAAGGAAUAGACGGGGGCUCACACAAGCGGUGGAGCAUGUGGCUUAAUUCGAGGCUACGCGCAAAACCUUAUCCUGGGCUUGACAUGCACGGAUUAACCGGCGGAAACGCCGGCGACGCCGCGAGGUGGAACGUGCACAGGUGCUGCAUGGCUGUCGUCAGCUCGUGUCGUGAGAUGUUGGGUUAAGUCCCGUAACGAGCGAAACCCCUGUGGUCAGUUGCCAGCGCGUCAUGGCGGGCACUCUGGCCAGACUGCCGGUGUGAAACCGGAGGAAGGCGGGGAUGACGUCAAGUCCUCAUGGCCCUUAUGCCCAGGGCUGCACACGUGCUACAAUGGGAGAGACAGAGCGCCUGCGAGGCCGCAAGGCCGAGCCAAUCGCACAAACCCUCCCCCAGUUCGGAUUGCGGGCUGCAACUCGCCCGCAUGAAGUUGGAAUCGCUAGUAAUCGCGGAUCAGCACGCCGCGGUGAAUGUGUACCUGAGCCUUGUACACACCGCCCGU
rnacentral:rRNA from 1 species